rnacentral:rRNA from 1 species
GUGGAUUAGAUACCCUGGUAGUCCACGCCGUAAACGAUGCUAACUCGUUUUUGGGUUUUCGGAUUCAGAGACUAAGCGAAAGUGAUAAGUUAGCCACCUGGGGAGUACGAACGCAAGUUUGAAACUCUAAGGAAUUGACGGGGGCCCGCACAAGCGGUGGAUUAUGUGGUUUAAUUCGAUGAUACGCGAGGAACCUUACCAAGGCUUAAAUGGGAAUUGAUCGGUUUAGAAAUAGACCUUCCUUCGGGCAAUUUUCAAGGUGCUGCACGGUUGUCGCCAACU